rnacentral:rRNA from 1 species
UACAGAGGUGGCAAGCGUUGUUCGGAAUUACUGGGCGUAAAGGGCGCGUAGGCGGCCUACUAAGUCAGACGUGAAAUCCCCCGGCUUAACCUGGGAACUGCGUCUGAUACUGGAAGGCUUGAGGAUGGGAGAGGGAUGUAGAAUUCCAGGCGUAGCGGUGAAAUGCGUAGAUAUCUGGAGGAAUACCGGUGGCGAAGGCGGCAUCCUGGACCAUUACUGACGCUGAGGCGCGAAAGCUAGGGGAGCAAACGGG